UACCUCGCUCCACCGAGAGGUAAAUAGUGUUGAGGAUUGUGCAAUCGGUCUUUUAUUUCCAUUUGAGGAUUUUUGGCAAGAUUACUUGCAACCGAUUUGCGGGGGUUUCUGGGUUAUUGGCUUAACCUUGAGGUGGAUGUGUGUUGAGAAAGGCAGAAGAGCUACUGAGGUGUGGCUUCAAACAUCCAAUUCCAGAGUUAUUGUUCAUGCUUGGAGACAUAGAUUGCUUCUACAUUCAAGGUUUCAUAUGCUACUGUUGUAAGAAAUUGGUCUGCAAGGUCUGAAGAGAAGGAGAAAGUUGAAUCUGUAAAUCAAGGAAAAUUUGGGUACAGCAAGAAGGAAACUGGGAAAAGAGAUUAAAUAGGCAUGCAAUUGUUUUGAGCAGCAGAUGAAUGGCAACCAAAAAGAUGAAGUGAUUUGCGAAGCAAGCGAAAAGAUGAAGUGGUCUGCCAGUGAUAUGGUCUGGAAAAUUUGGGUAUAGCAAGAAGGAAGAUCUGGAAUUACCAUUGUUUUUGAUUUGUCUGCUUAUUUUUGAAGAGAAGGUGGGUUUGUAAGUUUAUCUAAUUGUGUUUGGUUUCUGAUUUGAAUUUGAGUUCUGUGUGGAUUUGUAUUUGAGGUGUGUUUUGUAGAAUUGCAUAUGGAAAGGGGUUAGAUUCAGUAAAUGGUUUCAUGCAUAUGUCAGUAUAUAUCAUUUUUUGCUUUGCUUGGUUCCGUUUUCACUUUCAAUUGUAUAUGCUUUCUUCUUCUUGGUAUGUUUUCUAUUUGUAAUUUCUCCAGUUUAGUUCAAAUCAGUGGAGAGAAUAGGUUCUGCAUGUUCUCUGUCGGAAUAAUUCAUACCCUAUUUGCUAUUGUUUUUUUCUGUAGGAGAGGCUGAAAGUUGUUAUUGAACAGAUCACGAGCUGUAGCUUCAUGGUGAGUAGUCUGUUGUCUUUCAUCUUUUAGCUUCCUUGCAACAAUUAUUGUAAUUCUCCCAAGUCUUAAAACAAGAAGAUAUACCAUCUAAAUAUAUCUGCUAGAAAAGAAACUGUUAUUAGAGAUGAUUGCAUUAUGAUAAAUUCAAAGAUAGCAAGGGUCAAUUUCUCUCUGCAUUUUGUAGUUCUUGCACAUUUGAUUUCAUUUACCGUUUUUGGUGUACUUAUUACUUCAAUGUACAGUUUUCAUCUUUGAUAAUUUCAAAUCUUUUAUUAAGUUAUAUAUGAAUCUAAUCAUGGGAUCAAUGAUAGAAUGCAGCAAUUGCUUUGAUUUGUUGAAGAUUUUUCUACAUUGAUUUUCAGCCACCUUUUUCAAGUAAUCAUAGAAAAGAUCUGAGAUUUUUGAGUAUUUUGGAGGUGUAAAUUGAGGAGUCUUUGCUUUUUCAAGUACAAAUGUUUUAUCCAAUGUAGAUCACACACAGUUCAUACUCUGUUACUUUCGUGAAUAUUAGGUAGUCUACUGGUGUUCGCUAAUUCUCUCAUUGUCUUUCAGUUUGGAGACCUUUUAACUACUGGUAUACUAACAAUUUUAUCUCUGCAUUCAUAUGGAUCAGCACUUACUUAUUCUGAAAGCACAAUUGGAAAGAUUGAUUUGCUUUAUAGACUGCUGCAUAUAAAGUUUCGACUCUAUACCUUUCAAUCUUUUAUGUACUAUUCCAAAUGUUUAUUCCCUGAUAAUAAUAAUAAUAAUAAUAAUAAUAAUAAUAAUAAUAAUAAUAAUUACUAAGAAAUAUCAACAUUUAAGACUCACUACAAUUAUCAUAUUUGCUUCUACCUUUUCAAAUUAUACACAACAACCAGAAAAGCAAAAUUUUGUUCGACUUACAAUGUAUGAAAUUUUGAAAUAAAAAAUUACUUCUAUGUUAUGUCCAUGUUGAGUCCUACAAUUGAAGGUUUAACAAUCUUCUUCUUCCAUUUUUUUUCCUUUUGUUUUGUUUUUUGUACAAAAUUUGGAAUUUAUAUAAGUGGUUCAAACAAGGUGGGUCUUCUCUGGCCUCCGCUUUUGAUUUAGCUUCAAUUUUUAGAUAACUUGCUGGAAUUGAUGCGAGAGAAUGAGUUUCAACACCAGUAUAAUAAUCAUUAGGUCUGGAUUUGUGUGACUGUGGGAUUUCUUUUUUCAUGAUAGAUAUUUUCAGUAAAGGUUGUCUGAUGUAUUCGAUAAUGCAGGGGUUUGCGAUUAUCAUAUUGGGAUCUUGGAAAUAUAAUGCAGUUAUUUAUAUCAUUGCAAAGAAGAAAAUCAGUUUUAAAUUGAUUAGCCUUCUACACUGAUUAAAAGGGAGUUAGCAGUUUUGUUUUGAUAAUUUUGCUAUGUUUGUUUUCUUGGUAGUUGCUUUGCUUGGCUCUAUUUUUAACUUCAGUUAUCUAUGGUUUGUUGCUAAGCUUUGCAUUACAAAUCUGUUCAUCACCAUG